UUCGAAAAAGGAAAUGGUGUCUUCCUUACCCAACCGCCUUAAAAAGCUGAUGGCGCCUGAUUAAUU
rnacentral:ncRNA from 1 species